AUUGAACGCUGGCGGCAGGCCUAACACAUGCAAGUCGAACGGUAACAGGAAGACGCUUGCUUCUUUGCUGCCGAGUGGCGGACGGGUGAGUAAUGUCUGGGAAACUGCCUGAUGGAGGGGGAUAACUACUGGAAACGGUAGCUAAUACCGCAUAACGUCGCAAGACCAAAGAGGGGGACCUUCGGGCCUCUUGCCAUCGGAUGUGCCCAGAUGGGAUUAGCUAGUAGGUGGGGUAACGGCUCACCUAGGCGACGAUCCCUAGCUGGUCUGAGAGGAUGACCAGCCACACUGGAACUGAGACACGGUCCAGACUCCUACGGGAGGCAGCAGUGGGGAAUAUUGCACAAUGGGCGCAAGCCUGAUGCAGCCAUGCCGCGUGUAUGAAGAAGGCCUUCGGGUUGUAAAGUACUUUCAGCGGGGAGGAAGGGAGUAAAGUUAAUACCUUUGCUCAUUGACGUUACCCGCAGAAGAAGCACCGGCUAACUCCGUG
rnacentral:rRNA from 1 species